GCCUANGGAUGCAAGUCGAGCGAAUCGAUGGGAGCUUGCUCCCUGAGAUUUGUGGCGGACGGGUGAGGAACACAUGGGUAACCUGCCUGUAAGACUGGGAUAACUUCGGGAAACCGGAGCUAAUACCGGAUAUGUUCUUUUCUCGCAUGAGGGAAGAUGGAAAGAUGGUUUCGGCUAUCACUUACAGAUGGACCCGCGGCGCAUUAGCUAGUUGGUGAGGUAACGGCUCACCAAGGCGACGAUGCGUAGCCGACCUGAGAGGGUGAUCGGCCACACUGGGACUGAGACACGGCCCAGACUC
rnacentral:sRNA from 1 species